rnacentral:tRNA from 1 species
GCGCGAGUGGCGGAAUUGGCAGACGCGCUGGAUUUAGGUUCCAGUGUCUUUAGACGUGGGGGUUCAAGUCCCCCCUCGCGCA